AACAUUGGUUCCCAUAUGAUCACCAAAGUUAAGCAAUGAUGAGCCAUGUCAGUACCUCGAUGGGUGACCAUUUGGGAAUAACAUGUGCUGUAAG